rnacentral:rRNA from 1 species
ACGUAGGGGGCGAGCGUUAUCCGGAUUCAUUGGGCGUAAAGCGCUCGUAGGCGGCCCGUCUGGUCGGGAGUCAAAGCCCGGGGCUCAACCCCGGCCCGCUCCCGAUACCGGCGGGCUUGAGUCGCGCAGGGGAGGCCGGAAUUCCGAGUGUAGCGGUGGAAUGCGCAGAUAUUCGGAAGAACACCGGUGGCGAAGGCGGACCUCUGGGCGCGCACUGACGCUGAGGAGCGAAAGCUGGGGGAGCGAACAG